AGGACGAACGCUGGCGGCGUGCCUAAAACAUGCAAGUCGAACGGUGGAGCAAUCCACAGUGGCGAACGGCGGAGUAAUACAUAAGCAACGUGCCCUGAAGACUGGGAUAGUCAGAGGAAACUCUGGGUAAUACCAGAUGUGGCCGUCACCCCGCAUGGGGAGACGAUUAAAUGGUUUUUCGCUUCAGGAGCGGCUUAUGGCCUAUCAGGUAGUUGGUGGGGUAACGGCCUACCAAGCCGACGACGGGUAGCGGGUCUGAGAGGAUGAUCCGCUCGAGUGGGACUGAGACACGGCCCACACACCUACGGGUGGCAGCAGUUGGGAAUCUUGCACAAUGGGGGAAACCCUGAUGCAGCGACGCCGCGUGGAGGAUGAAGGAUCUAGGUCUGUAAACUCCUUUUUCAGGGAAAGACUUAGGACGGUACCCUGAGAAUAAGGACCGGCUAACUACGUGCCAGCAGCCGCGGUAAGACGUAGGGUCCAAGCGUUGUCCGGAUUUACUGGGCGUAAAGAGCGCGUAGGCGGCUCGUUAAGUGUGAAGCUAAAUCUCCGGGCUCAACCCGGAAACUAUUUCGCAUACUGGCAAGCUAGAGUGAUGCAGAGGUUUGUGGAAUUCCUGGUGUAGCGGUGAAAUGCGUUGAUAUCAGGAGGAACACCCAUGGCGAAGGCAGCAAACUGGGCAUUAACUGACGCUGAGGCGCGAAAGCGUGGGUAGCAAACAGGAUUAGAUACCCUGGUAGUCCACGCCCUAAACGAUGGAUACUAGGCGUAAGAGGUAUCGACCCCUCUUGUGCCGCAGCUAACGCAUUAAGUAUCCCGCCUGGGGAGUACGGCCGCAAGGUUG
rnacentral:rRNA from 1 species